UUGCUCGUUGCUUGAAAAUUUUGGACAAAACCAAUUUGGAUUGAUAGCUUUACGGGUUAGCUACUAAAUAAAAGUAUGAAAUCGAAUCGGGUUCAAAUAUUUCGUAUUGACUCAGGAACAAAAGGACCAUAAUCUUUUUUUUAAUCAAUCUAUUUUUAUGUUAUUUCGUACUGACAAUUCUUCUGUUUGUGGGAUCAUUUUCGCAUGAGAGGUAAUGAGAGGAAUUAUAGAAUGGAUUGCUACCUAUGCCUAGAUCGUGGAUAAAUGGAAAUUUUAUUGAUAAGGCAUUUUCAAUUGUAGCCAGUAUCUUAUUACGAAUAAUUUCGACAACUUUAGGAGAAAAAGAGGCAUUUACCUAUUACAGAGAUGGUGUCAUUUGAUUCCUUUUUUUUUUCUCUCAGUCUUACGAGAAAGACACGUGAUUCAGGAAAAUUUUUGAAAGAAAUCUACGCUUGUUGAAGGUGAAAUUUGGAAAUUGAACAAUUCCUUCUGUCGUGUAUCCUCGAUUAAUACAAUCUCAGAUGCUAUGUUUCAAUUUUGAUUCUAGUAUUGAGCGAAAGGUUACAACUAGGGGUUAUUUAUUAUGGGUCAAUCCUACUCCACUAUUACCAAUAGGCAGCAUAGGGUUGAAAUCAU
rnacentral:lncRNA from 1 species